GUGCUCACUUUGGCAGCACAUAUACUAAAAUUGGAACGAUACAGAGAAGAUUAACAUGGCCCCUGCACAAGGAUGACACGCAAAUUCGUGUAGCGUUCCAUAUUUUU
rnacentral:snRNA from 1 species